rnacentral:rRNA from 1 species
UGGGGAAUUUUGCGCAAUGGGCGAAAGCCUGACGCAGCAACGCCGCGUGAGUGAUGAAGGCCUUCGGGUCGUAAAGCUCUGUCAGAGGGGAAGAACCACCUGUCGGUUAAUAUCCGGCAGGCCUGACGGUACCCUCAAAGGAAGCACCGGCUAACUCCGUGCCAGCAGCCGCGGUAAUACGGAGGGGGCUAGCGUUGUUCGGAAUUACUGGGCGUAAAGGGCACGUAGGCUGGCUGUUAAGUCGGGGGUGAAAUCCUGAGGCUCAACCUCAGAAUUGCCUCCGAUACUGGCGGUCUUGAGUGCGGGAGAGGUGAGUGGAAUUCCCAGUGUAGAGGUGAAAUUCGUAGAUAUUGGGAAGAACACCAGUGGCGAAGGCGGCUCACUGGCCCGCAACUGACGCUGAGGUGCGAAAGCGUGGGGAGCAA